rnacentral:rRNA from 1 species
UACGCAGGGGGCUAGCGUUGUUCGGAAUUACUGGGCGUAAAGCGUACGUAGGCGGAUUGUUAAGUGAGGGGUGAAAUCCCGAGGCUCAACCUCGGAACUGCCUUUCAUACUGGCAAUCUUGAGUCCGGGAGAGGUGAGUGGAACUCCUAGUGUAGAGGUGAAAUUCGUAGAUAUUAGGAAGAACACCAGUGGCGAAGGCGGCUCACUGGACCGGUACUGACGCUGAGGCGCGAAAGCGUGGGGAGCAAACAGG